rnacentral:lncRNA from 1 species
AUGACAUAUACAUCAGAUCUUUGUUCUGCAUCGUAUUAUUGCUCAACACAUCCACAAGUGAAGGGGAUUGGAGACAUGAAUAUGCAAAGAUGCGUUUUAAGAGGAUCACUUAGCCUCUGUUUCAACUUUUACCCUCAGUUCCCAAAACAGGCAGAUGGAAUUUGUGGUCUUUCUUCUUCACUGACUUUAUUUCAUAAAGUGAUGACAUUCAACCCUCCCUCUCUCAGAUAUUCAACUGCUAUCGGAUCCUCCUAAUGCUGGCACUCUGUUUUGCAUUUUGAAACAUUUCUGUCUACUUUAACAUUCAACAACCCUUUAGUCUAAGGUUCCUUCUACCCUUGCCAUUGUUUUAAGGUGCCUUCCAGCCUUGACAUUUUAUAUUGAGAGCCCAGUCUUUAAGGAUAAGAUAAAUGUCAUCUGACUUGGGCCAAAAAGAUGGAAUUUGUGGUCUUUCUUCUUCUCUGACUAUUUCAUAAAGUGAUGGGACCGUAUUUCAUAAAGUGAGGGAUUUCAUAAACAGCUGAAAGAAACCUAAAAGAUCACUGAGUCUGAUUCUCUCCUUUUCUAGAUGAGGGAACCUGAAGCUCAGAGAAAUGAAAUAAUGUGUGCAACAUCACAAAGGUGUGACUCCCAUCCACAAAUGGCUAUCAAAUCUUUCCCAUUCCCACUAAGACUUCUCCAGACUAUCCAGCUCUGAUUCCUUCUACCACAGGCUUUCCCCAUUGCUUUUCUUCAGAUAUAAUUAAUUCUUAAUUUCCCUUUAAAACAAAACUGAAUACACAACUCAGGACACAGAACAGCAAGACUGACCCUCAAAAAUACCCAUCUAUUAGACAGAGAGUCUGGAUUAGUUCAUCCCUAAGAUCCCUUCAGGAUGCUUCAUCCUGUGAACCUAAAGCAGUAAAGCAGAUUGAUACAGCAGAUUGAUCUUCACUGCCUAGAAGUGCCCAAGAGGUGCCAGGAAAACCACAGGUCCCAGCAAACUUAAUUACCAGGUCUAAUGGACUAUUCUUCAUCUUCAACCUUGACGACCGCUCUGUGGCAUCUGAGAGCACUGACCGCAUUCUCUAGGCUAGUCUCUUUUCUCUGGGUUUUAGUGAUGCUGUUUUCUCCCGGCUUUCCUCAGAUAUAUCUUUCUUGGUCUCACUUACUGGUUCUUCAUUCAUGUCACACACACACAUGUUAACUAUGUGGGUGCCUGCCCUCAGGUUCUAUCCUGGGUCCUCUUAUCUUAUCUCGCUUAGUAAACUCAUCAAUUUCCGUGGACUCAGUUAUCAUCUAUAGAGAUGAUUACAAGAUCUAUAUCUCCAGCUCUAGAGUUUCCUGAACCUUCAUCUUAAAUUACCAGCAGCCUUUAGGACACUUCAGACCAGCUCAUUGGCUUUCCUUUGUACACCCUCCCCUCUUCCAAAUUGUCUUUCCUGUUACUGUUGAGGGCACCAUCAACUUCCUAAUCACCGAUUACAACUUCCUUGCCCCUC